ensembl:lncRNA
AGAGUAAUGCAACAUGUACUGUGAAAAUACAGGCUGGGCAGUUGAACAGUGGGAUAAAGAAUUGUGGAAGAGCACUGGACAUUGAGUGAUAUUUUGCCAUGCUGGGACUUAAUCUGAAAGAAAGACUGUAAAGAAACAGAGAAGAAGACAACAGCUGAGUUGAGACUGUGUUUGCUGGAGCUUUGAAGCACGAACAGGACACUGUGAAUGAAAGAGAGACCGUGAGAGAUGAAGCUGGACGAGUUUGACUGCGAGAAUAUAGGAUAUAAUUGGAUUGAAAGUUGAAACCUGAACUCAUGACUGUUUAGGGAUGUCCACCACAGCAUAACAAAGAGGUAAACAUUAGAAAAGGUUGACACCAAGUGUUAUUGACGACACCCACAGCCUGUAAAAUUGCAGAGAGACCCUCCUGGAUACAUCAGAGCCACUGCAAAAGGGUUGAGGUCCCGGGAAGCCCCAUCACUAAGGAGGAAGCACAUUGGGAAGGCCUCACCUACGUUUGGUUGCUUCGGGGGUGAGGGGGGGGUAGUGCGAUUGGGCCCCCGUUGGGUAAGCCUGCACUCCACUCUCUAUCCGAUCAACUUUAGGGCAGCCAGGUGCAGGUGUGAUGGACCAAUGUGCAACAAUGUGAAGGGGAAGCCUCAUGGUUACCUUGACUACAAAAGCUCACCCUUACAUCCAUCCUUGGAUGAAAAAUGCCUGAUACAGACCACAGAGAAAGACUGUUAUGUUAAACACCCUGGAACAAGUGCACCAAAUCUGAUCUAAUGACUUUUGUAAGGUGCACAACAUCAUCAACAUCCUGAUCCAGGAAGAAGCCCUGAACUUUAACAAGUUUUAAAGAGACUGUUGAUCAUCAUUGAAUUUUUCUUGAUUUUAUUUUGCUUUUCUUUACUUAUGUUAUUCUUUGUUUAAAGCUGUAAUUUCACAGAUGAUAAGUUUAUCAUUCACAGCAUACGCAGAUGUACCAAAACCAGUGAAGACUUCUUUUCCUGUUUGUCAGAUGAAGAUGAAGUGUAACUUAUGAUGUAGUAACUGAGUUGCUUAUUGUACAUUUCAUUUCUCUGAUAAACAGGGCGGAAUGUUAAGAGAAUAUGGUAUAUAUGUGAUCAGCUACAUGAAAUGUAUUAUCAUUAAGCACAUUUCUACAUGACUCUUUACCUAGUAACUUGUGUGCUGAACUUAUGCAGAUACUAACCGCAUCCUGUUGUUCUGAACAUUUAGAUGUAGAGAAGACCAAGCUCAGCUCUUUUACGAGAACAUGCAAAUGAAGAGAAGGGGAAAAACCCGCUGCUCUAAAUGACGUUGUUACCUUUGUACACACACACACACACACACACACACACACACACACACACACACAAAAAGUAUAAAUAAAGGAUGCGGACAGUCAAUGGGCGCAGAUCCUGUGUUCAUGACUGCCCUCGCGAGUGAAAGAACUGCAGUGUUUGUGUUUUCUAAACUCAGGAGUCUUGGCUAAAGAAAGAGCGGCAGGGUGAUUUAAAGAAAUCCCCUGUCACAGACCAAACUGU